rnacentral:rRNA from 1 species
AUUGAACGCUGGCGGCAGGCCUAACACAUGCAAGUCGAACGGUAACAGGGAUCAGCUUGCUGAUUCGCUGACGAGUGGCGGACGGGUGAGUAAUGUCUGGGAAACUGCCUGAUGGAGGGGGAUAACUACUGGAAACGGUAGCUAAUACCGCAUAACGUCGCAAGACCAAAGAGGGGGACCUUCGGGCCUCUUGCCAUCGGAUGUGCCCAGAUGGGAUUAGCUGGUAGGUGGGGUAACGGCUCACCUAGGCGACGAUUCCUAGCUGGUCUGAGAGGAUGACCAGCCACACUGGAACUGAGACACGGUCCAGACUCCUACGGGAGGCAGCAGUGGGGAAUAUUGCACAAUGGGCGCAAGCCUGAUGCAGCCAUGCCGCGUGUAUGAAGAAGGCCUUCGGGUUGUAAAGUACUUUCAGCGGGGAGGAAGGGAGUAAAGUUAAUACCUUUGCUCAUUGACGUUACCCGCAGAAGAAGCACCGGCUAACUCCGUG